AGCAGUCGCCGCGGGAAUACGUAGGUGGCAAGCGUUGUCCGGAAUUAUUGGGCGUAAAGGGCUCGCAGGCGGUUUCUUAAGUCUGAUGUGAAAGCCCCCGGCUCAACCGGGGAGGGUCAUUGGAAACUGGGAAACUUGAGUGCAGAAGAGGAGAGUGGAAUUCCACGUGUAGCGGUGAAAUGCGUAGAGAUGUGGAGGAACACCAGUGGCGAGGGCGGCUUUUUGGCCUGUAACUGACACUGAGGCGCGAAAGCGUGGGGAGCAAACAGGAUUAGAUACCCGGGUAGUCCCUGUCUCUUAUAC
rnacentral:rRNA from 1 species